UCGAACGAAGCCUUUUUAGGCUUAGUGGUGAACGGGUGAGUAACACGUAUCCAAUCUACCUUAAGUUGGGGAUAACUAGUCGAAAGAUUAGCUAAUACCGAAUAAUAACAUCAAUAUCGCAUGAGAAGAUGUAGAAAGUCGCUCUUUGUGGCGACGCUUUUGGAUGAGGGGUGCGACGUAUCAGAUAGUUGGUGAGGUAAUGGGCUCACCAAGUCAAUGACGCGUAGCUGUACUGAGAGGUAGAACAGCCACAAUGGGACUGAGACACGGCCCAUACUCCUACGGGAGGCAGCAGUAGGGGAAUUUUCACAAUGGGCGCAAGCCUUAUGAAGCAAUGCCGCGUGAACGAUGAAGGUCUUAUAGAUUGUAAAGUUCUUUUAUAUGGGAAGAAACGCUAAAAUAGGAAAUGAUUUUAGUUUGACUGUACCAUUUGAAUAAGUAUCGGGCUAACUAUGUGCCCAGCAGCCGCGGGUAAAUA
rnacentral:rRNA from 1 species